GAAAAUCUACAACUUUGGUUUUGGGUAAAGUUGAUUUGGAGUUUGGAUUAGGGAGAAAAACGUGCUCGAACUCAGCUGAGUUGAUGGUUACUAUGCAAAUUUGAUUAGCGCUAAUGACAUUGCUUAGGGCCAAGAUUAGCAAUUUAAGCCUACCGCUAACACUGAGGUGUUCCAAUCCCCCUCCCCCGCGCCCGUCCCCUCGGACUCCCGGCGCGGACCAAGCGAGGCGCAGUCCGCGCGGCUGCCGCCUGCCGUCCCUCGCCUCCGCCCCUGCAACCGGACACGGUCUCUGUCUCGCUCGACGACCUCGCCGCGCGGCCGUCCACCCGGCGCGGAUCCACCCUAGCGGCGCGCUUUGGGCCGUCUCGCUCGACGACCCCGUCCACUCGGCGCGGAGGAGGCGGCAGGGCGAGUGGCAGACGACCACGAGCUGGCGGAUCCAACAGCGGACUCCUCUCUGACUCCUCCGUCGGUGCUCCCCUUCCUCUCCAUUGCGGACCGCUGCUCGCAGAUGCACGCGUGCUCCCCGCCGCGCCGCCUCCCCCAACGCUGGUCUUCGCGGACGGUCUGCCUGCCGGCAUCCUCGGCGAUGCCAUCGCGCCCACCUUGCCAAUACAGGUGAGCUCCUUGAGAUCCAUGGAAGCAUCAUUAGUGGGCUUGUGGAGGUGAAUUUGGUUGUGGAGGGGGGAUGCUGCUGGAGGCUCGUCGGUGGAAGAGGACGCGUUCGGUGGUGGCUUCGGCUCCCUCCACAGCAUGCUGCAGUGGGCUAUUGGAAAUUCUGAUCCAGAGAAGCUGAAAAAGAAGGAAGCUGAUGUGCAAGAAAUUGUCUGCAGAUGAGCUGCCGAAGCGGCACCAUGAGAUUAAGGUAAUAAAUACAGCUUCACUGCGUCAGUAUUCUGACUUCUGUUAAUUUAUUAUCAGCUUUCUGGUGUGAUAUUCCAUCAUCCUAUUUAUUUUGUAGUUAUUUGUAUUACUUGGGUUGUAUACAAAAGUGUUUGGUUUGAUCAUGAUCUAGAUUACUUGUGCUGUUUUGGAGCGCUCUGCUUUACUGUACAGCUCGUACAUUUAGCAGGUGAAUUAGUACUUCAGUGCCUGGGGCUGGGGACAGGCUUUUUCCCUUAUUCUAGAAUUUGGACUACCAGCACAUUACUGGAAAACUUAUUCCUAAGUGCCCCAAGUUAUUAGCAUGUUCUUGUUAUAGUUGUUGACUUCACAAGGUUUGUUGUUCCACCCAUUUUUUUGUAACUCUUAUUAGCCAAAGAAAAGAUAAAUCUAUUGUGGCUCACCGAAUAGGCGCACAAAGCCAACGCCAGUCUCGACAUCGCAGUCAUGCUACUCGAGCCCGUGCGGUUCCCUGUCCUAUCAUUCGGUGAUUUCUAUCAGACCAUGCAGUCUGCGGGUAUGAAAUGUUGUAGACCUCCUCUAAACGAAGGUUCCGGAUAGCACUGCUACAGUGCGACUGAAUUUAAACAGCAGAGGGAGAGAAUUAGGGCUGCAGCCAUGACCGAUGAGCAGAGGAAUGAAAGGAACAAAACGGCGUGAGGCUUAUAGGAAGAUGUAUGAUGCACGUGUAUGAUGGAAGGAUUUUUAAUGUUGAAUAAAAUGCUCGCAUUCGGACGAGAUUUGGGCUUAACUUUAGGAACUCAGGAAUUUGGAUAAUGAUGAACACAUUAUCCAGGUGGCUUAGUUUAAUUCAUACAGAACACACAACUUAGAUUGGGAUGAAGUCCAGCUAAUCGCUGCUGAUAUAUGGGUAUUUCUGCAUCAGUAUGAUAGCAUGCUAUCUGAUAUAGAGUUCUCAUAUAGCCCUAACAUUGUACAGAUGGAUAUGCUAAUAUUGCCUGUAACCCAGGCAGCUGACUGAUUUGUCAUCUUCAUUUGCUCCAACCUUGGUCUACAUGAUUAUAAAUUCAAGUUCUGGUGUGUUGAACUAAUUUGUACGGAACUCAUAACUUUGUUUGAAAAUAA